rnacentral:misc_RNA from 1 species
ACACCUCAACUCUCAUGGUUUGCCGUGAUGAGCUUGGACUUUGGAGGUUUUUGCUGGCCCACGGUCGGCUCCUCUCAAAUGAAUUAGCUUGCCAGUUUUCGGUGGCGUCACAGGUGUGAUAACUAUCUACGCUCGUGGUCGUCCGCCGGGUAACCUUUCGGUGACGGAGGUUUGCUGGAGCUUAUAAAUGUCUCUCCUCAGCGAAGACAGCUAUUCGAAC